UACGUAGGUGGCAAGCGUUGUCCGGAUUUACUGGGCGUAAAGGGCGUGCAGGCGGUUUGUUAAGUUCAGGGUGAAAGCUCCCGGCUCAACUGGGAGAGGUCCUUGGAUACUGGCAGACUUGAGGAGGGUAGAGGAGAGUGGAAUUCCCGGUGUAGUGGUGAUAUGCGUAGAUAUCGGGAGGAACACCUGUGGCGAAGGCGGCUUUCUGGGCCUUACCUGACGCUGAGACGCGAAAGCGUGGGGAGCGAACCGG
rnacentral:rRNA from 1 species